rnacentral:snRNA from 1 species
GUGCUCGCUUCAGCAGCACAUAUACUAAAAUUAGAAUGAUACAGAGAUUAGCAUGGCCCCUGUGCAAGGAUGACACGAAAAUUUGUGAAGUGUUCCAUAUUUUA